GAUGAACGCUGGCGGCGUGCCUAACACAUGCAAGUCGAGCGAGAUUAGUUGGAAUGAAGGUUUCGGCUGGAAUGAAAGCUAUGAACGCGGCGGACGGGUGAGUAACGCGUGGGCAACCUGCCCUAUACAGGGGGAUAGCCACUGGAAACGGUGAUUAAUACCCCAUAAGACUUCUGAGUCGCAUGAUUUAGAGGUAAAAGCUGAGGCGGUAUAGGAUGGGCCCGCGUUUGAUUAGCUAGUUGGUGAGGUAACGGCUCACCAAGGCAACGAUCAAUAGCCGACCUGAGAGGGUGAACGGCCACACUGGAACUGAGACACGGUCCAGACCCCUACGGGAGGCAGCAGUGGGGAAUAUUGCACAAUGGGGGAAACCCUGAUGCAGCAACGCCGCGUGAGCGAUGAAGGUCUUCGGAUCGUAAAGCUCUGUCCUGAAGGAAGAAUAAAUGACGGUACUUCAGGAGGAAGCCCCGGCAAACUACGUGCCAGCAGCCGACGG
rnacentral:rRNA from 1 species